CUCGGCGAGACGACGACUCCUACAGACGC
rnacentral:piRNA from 1 species